rnacentral:tRNA from 1 species
GCCUCCCUUUAGCGCAAUAGAUAGCGCUUUGGACUUCUAAUCCAAAGGUCGUGGGUUCGAAUCCCACCUGAGAUA